CUGCUGCCUUCCGUAGGAGUUUGGACCGUGUCUCAGUUCCAGUGUGGGGGACCUUCCUCUCAGAACCCCUACUGAUCGUCGCCCCGGUGGGCCGUUACCCCGCCGGCAAGCUAAUCAGACGCAUCCCCAUCCUUUACCGGCCGAAGCCUUUGGUCAUGAAAAUAUGCAUCAACAUGACAACAUAACGGUAUUAAUCCGCCUUUCGACGGGCUGUCCCAUAGUAAAGGGCAGGUUGGAUACGCGUUACUCACCCGUGCGCCGGUCGCCAU
rnacentral:rRNA from 1 species